rnacentral:rRNA from 1 species
AUUGAACGCUGGCGGCAUGCCUUACACAUGCAAGUCGAACGGCAGCACGGGUGCUUGCACCUGGUGGCGAGUGGCGAACGGGUGAGUAAUACAUCGGAACAUGUCCUGUAGUGGGGGAUAGCCCGGCGAAAGCCGGAUUAAUACCGCAUACGAUCCACGGAUGAAAGCGGGGGACCUUCGGGCCUCGCGCUAUAGGGUUGGCCGAUGGCUGAUUAGCUAGUUGGUGGGGUAAAGGCCUACCAAGGCGACGAUCAGUAGCUGGUCUGAGAGGACGACCAGCAACACUGGGACUGAGACACGGCCCAGACUCCUACGGGAGGCAGCAGUGGGGAAUUUUGGACAAUGGGCGAAAGCCUGAUCCAGCAAUGCCGCGUGUGUGAAGAAGGACUUCGGGUUGUAAAGCACUUUUGUCCGGAAAGAAAUCCUUGACUCUAAUACAGUCGGGGGAUGACGGUACCGGAAGAAUAAGCACCGGCUAACUACGUG